AAAACAAACUCACGUGUGAACUUGAUUUUCCUUCCACUUUUAGAAGACUUGAGGGAAGCUGCAACAUAUAGUUGGGGGGGGAGCAUGCUUAGUCUUUCUUUACCAGGAAUUAUGUCGUGUUGCAGUCACUAAACAAAGGAGAUUUCAGGGCAACUAUUCUUGUUGCAGAUCUAGGCCUGGCAGAGAUUUAAAAUAAUAUCUCCAUCAUUAAAAGAUCCAUUAACACCUGAUGAUGCACCACUAGGUGCUAGGUGGAGUCAGGCUAGACAAAUUACUGAAUUGACAACCCAUAUACUACCACAAAUCUGAUUACAUGGGAACCAUAUACCGAUGAAUUGUUAGAUGAGCUUCUAGACAUUUGUGUUUAAGGCUGUCCCAUCUGGAAGGCAGUGGUGCCAUUAGUUUGCUUUCGUAUUGUUGAAUGGCACCACCUGGUAAGGUGCUUCGCCAGUUUGGAUUGGUUCAACCUAUUCCACGGCCACCGAUGCAAACAAACAAGUUGCACAAGAUUACUCUCUGAUUGAGUGAGAGUAAUUGGGAGCACCACUAUGCCACCUACAUUAAUCGCUAGAAUAGGCGACAACAAUUUAUUGUUCAGGGGCAACAAAUGAUACAGCCACUCCACCAUCAUUUUGAAUAUAUGGAGUAGUACCGCUGAGUUGCUAGACGUUGGAUCUCAAUCAGUGGAGCUGCUAUUGGUUCUGCGGAGGAUGAAAUUGAG
rnacentral:misc_RNA from 1 species